ACAGAGGAGCUUGCUCCUUGGGUGACGAGUGGCGGACGGGUGAGUAAUGUCUGGGAAACUGCCCGAUGGAGGGGGAUAACUACUGGAAACGGUAGCUAAUACCGCAUAACGUCGCAAGACCAAAGAGGGGGACCUUCGGGCCUCUUGCCAUCGGAUGUGCCCAGAUGGGAUUAGCUAGUAGGUGGGGUAACGGCUCACCUAGGCGACGAUCCCUAGCUGGUCUGAGAGGAUGACCAGCCACACUGGAACUGAGACACGGUCCAGACUCCUACGGGAGGCAGCAGUGGGGAAUAUUGCACAAUGGGCGCAAGCCUGAUGCAGCCAUGCCGCGUGUAUGAAGAAGGCCUUCGGGUUGUAAAGUACUUUCAGCGAGGAGGAAGGCGUUGUGGUUAAUAACCGCAACGAUUGACAUUACUCGCAGAAGAAGCACCGGCUAACUCCGUGCCAGCAGCCGCGGUAAUACGGAGGGUGCAAGCGUUAAUCGGAAUUACUGGGCGUAAAGCGCACGCAGGCGGUCUGUCAAGUCGGAUGUGAAAUCCCCGGGCUCAACCUGGGAACUGCAUCCGAAACUGGCAGGCUAGAGUCUUGUAGAGGGGGGUAGAAUUCCAGGUGUAGCGGUGAAAUGCGUAGAGAUCUGGAGGAAUACCGGUGGCGAAGGCGGCCCCCUGGACAAAGACUGACGCUCAGGUGCGAAAGCGUGNGGAGCAAACAGGAUUAGAUACCCUGGUAGUC
rnacentral:rRNA from 1 species